GACGAACGCUGGCGGCGUGCCUAACACAUGCAAGUCGAGCGGAGUCGAUCGACGGAAGCCUUCGGGCGGAAGAUGGUUGACUUAGCGGCGGAUGGGUGAGUAACGCGUGGGCAACCUGCCUCGAAGACCGGGAUAACAGUCCGAAAGGGGCUGCUAAUACCGGAUGUGGUCAAGGAUCCGCAUGGAUUUUUGAUUAAAGGGGAAACCCGUUUCGAGAUGGGCCCGCGUCCUAUCAGCUAGUUGGUGAGGUAAAAGCUCACCAAGGCGACGACGGGUAGCCGGCCUGAGAGGGUGACCGGCCACACUGGAACUGAGACACGGUCCAGACUCCUACGGGGGGCAGCAGUGGGGAAUCUUCCACAAUGGGCGAAAGCCUGAUGGAGCGACGCCGCGUGAGCGAAGAAGGCCUUCGGGUUGUAAAGCUCUGUCUGGAGGGACGAAGGAAGUGACGGUACCUCCGGAGGAAGCCACGGCUAACUACGUGCCAGCAGCCGCGGUAAAUCGACGUGUA
rnacentral:rRNA from 1 species